rnacentral:rRNA from 1 species
AGUGAACGCUGGCGGUAGGCCUAACACAUGCAAGUCGAACGGCAGCACAGGAGAGCUUGCUCUCUGGGUGGCGAGUGGCGGACGGGUGAGGAAUACAUCGGAAUCUACUCUGUCGUGGGGGAUAACGUAGGGAAACUUACGCUAAUACCGCAUACGACCUACGGGUGAAAGCAGGGGACCUUCGGGCCUUGCGCGAUUGAAUGAGCCGAUGUCGGAUUAGCUAGUUGGCGGGGUAAAGGCCCACCAAGGCGACGAUCCGUAGCUGGUCUGAUAGGAUGCUCAGCCACACUGGAAAUGAGACACGGUGCAGACUCCUACGGGAGGCAGCAGUGGGGAAUAUUGGAGAAUGGGCGCAAGCCUGAUCCAGCCAUACCGCGUGGGUGAAGAAGGCCUUCGGGUUGUAAAGCCCUUUUGUUGGGAAAGAAAUCCAGCUGGCUAAUACCCGGUUGGGAUGACGGUACCCAAAGAAUAAGCACCGGCUAACUUCGUGCCAGCCGCCGCGGUAA